AACGAACGCUGGCGGCAGGCCUAACACAUGCAAGUCGAGCGCCCCGCAAGGGGAGCGGCGGACGGGUGAGUAACGCGUGGGAACGUACCCUUUGCUACGGAAUAGCCCCGGGAAACUGGGAGUAAUACCGUAUGUGCCCUCUGGGGGAAAGAUUUAUCGGCAAAGGAUCGGCCCGCGUUGGAUUAGGUAGUUGGUGGGGUAAUGGCCUACCAAGCCGACGAUCCAUAGCUGGUUUGAGAGGAUGAUCAGCCACACUGGGACUGAGACACGGCCCAGACUCCUACGGGAGGCAGCAGUGGGGAAUCUUAGACAAUGGGGGCAACCCUGAUCUAGCCAUGCCGCGUGAGUGAUGAAGGCCCUAGGGUUGUAAAGCUCUUUCAGCUGGGAAGAUAAUGACGGUACCAGCAGAAGAAGCCCCGGCUAACUCCGUG
rnacentral:rRNA from 1 species